UACGGAGGGGACUAGCGUUGUUCGGAAUUACUGGGCGUAAAGCGCGCGUAGGCGGGCUGGUCAGUUGGGGGGUGAAAUCCCGAGGCUUAACCUCGGAACUGCCUUCAAUACUGCCAGUCUUGAGUUCGGAAGAGGUGAGUGGAAUUCCUAGUGUAGAGGUGAAAUUCGUAGAUAUUCGGAAGAACACCAGUGGCGAAGGCGGCUCACUGGCGGUAGACGCUGAGGUGCGAAAGCGUGGGGAGCAAACAGGAUUAGAUACCCGGGUAGUCC
rnacentral:rRNA from 1 species